rnacentral:rRNA from 1 species
AUUGAACGCUAGCGGGAUGCCUUACACAUGCAAGUCGAACGGCAGCACGGACUUCGGUCUGGUGGCGAGUGGCGAACGGGUGAGUAAUGUAUCGGAACGCGCCUAGUAGCGGGGGAUAACUACGCGAAAGCGUAGCUAAUACCGCAUACGCCCUACGGGGGAAAGCAGGGGAUCGCAAGACCUUGCACUAUUAGAGCGGCCGAUAUCGGAUUAGCUAGUUGGUGGGGUAACGGCUCACCAAGGCGACGAUCCGUAGCUGGUUUGAGAGGACGACCAGCCACACUGGGACUGAGACACGGCCCAGACUCCUACGGGAGGCAGCAGUGGGGAAUUUUGGACAAUGGGGGAAACCCUGAUCCAGCCAUCCCGCGUGUGCGAUGAAGGCCUUCGGGUUGUAAAGCACUUUUGGCAGGAAAGAAACGUCAUGGGUUAAUACCCCGUGAAACUGACGGUACCUGCAGAAUAAGCACCGGCUAACUACGUGCCAGCAGCCGCGGUAAUACGUAGGGUGCAAGCGUUAAUCGGAAUUACUGGGCGUAAAGCGUGCGCAGGCGGUUCGGAAAGAAAGAUGUGAAAUCCCAGAGCUUAACUUUGGAACUGCAUUUUUAACUACCGAGCUAGAGUGUGUCAGAGGGAGGUGGAAUUCCGCGUGUAGCAGUGAAAUGCGUAGAUAUGCGGAGGAACACCGAUGGCGAAGGCAGCCUCCUGGGAUAACACUGACGCUCAUGCACGAAAGCGUGGGGAGCAAACAGG